AGUGAACGCUGGCGGUAGGCCUAACACAUGCAAGUCGAACGGCAGCACAGUAAGAGCUUGCUCUUACGGGUGGCGAGUUGCGGACGGGUGAGGAAUACAUCGGAAUCUACUUUUUCGUGGGGGAUAACGUAGGUAAACUUACGCUAAUACCGCAUACGACCUACGGGUGAAAGCAGGGGAUCUUCGGACCUUGCGCGACUGAAUGAGCCUAUGUCGGAUUAGCUAGUUGGCGGGGUAAAGGCCCACCAAGGCGACGAUCCGUAGCCGGUCUGAGAGGAUGAUCAGCCACACUGGAACUGAGACACGGUCCAGACUCCUACAGGAGGCAGCAGUGGGGAAUAUUGGACAAUGGGCGCGAGCCUGAUCCAGCCAUACCGCGUGGGUGAAGAAGGCCUUCGGGUUGUAAAGCCCUUUUGUUGGGAAAGAAGAGCAGCAGGUUAAUACCCCGCUGUUCUGACGGUACCCAAAGAAUAAGCACCGGCUAACUUCGUG
rnacentral:rRNA from 1 species